GAAAUGCGAUAAGUAGUGUGAAUUGCAGAAUUCAGUGAAUCAUCGAAUCUUUGAACGCACAUUGCGCCCUUUGGUAUUCCUUAGGGCAUGCCUGUUCGAGCGUCAUUUGUACCCUCAAGCUCUGCUUGGUGUUGGGUGUUUGUCCCGUCUCCGCGCGUGGACUCGCCCCAAAGUGAUUGGCAGCCGGCGUACUGGUCCCGGAGCGCAGCACAUGUCGCGCAAACGAGUGCCUUGGUACGGCGGCGUCCAUAAGCCCCUCUCUCACGCUCUUGACCUCGGAUCAGGUAGGGAUACCCGCUGAACUUAAGC
rnacentral:misc_RNA from 1 species